rnacentral:rRNA from 1 species
AUUGAACGCUGGCGGCAUGCCUUACACAUGCAAGUCGAACGGCAGCAUGAUCUAGCUUGCUAGAUUGAUGGCGAGUGGCGAACGGGUGAGUAAUACAUCGGAACGUGCCCUGUAGUGGGGGAUAACUAGUCGAAAGAUUAGCUAAUACCGCAUACGACCUGAGGGUGAAAGUGGGGGACCGCAAGGCCUCAUGCUAUAGGAGCGGCCGAUGUCUGAUUAGCUAGUUGGUGAGGUAAAGGCUCACCAAGGCGACGAUCAGUAGCUGGUCUGAGAGGACGAUGAGCCACACUGGGACUGAGACACGGCCCAGACUCCUACGGGAGGCAGCAGUGGGGAAUUUUGGACAAUGGGGGCAACCCUGAUCCAGCAAUGCCGCGUGUGUGAAGAAGGCCUUCGGGUUGUAAAGCACUUUUGUCCGGAAAGAGAUCGCACUUACUAAUAUUAGGUGUGGAUGACGGUACCGGAAGAAUAAGGACCGGCUAACUACGUGCCAGCCGCCGCCGUAAAAC